rnacentral:lncRNA from 1 species
GCGUCGCCAAGAAGCCAGAGCGAAGCGGGCCGGGGCUUCCGGGGUCUAUCGUGGAUCCAGCAGGGGGCUCCACUUCCCCUGACGUGGCGCAGACACGCAAGAGUGCGUCACCUCGGACGUGUAUUUGUUACGCACCAAACGAGGCUAGAUCCCAUGGUCAGUAGUUUUGGAAAGCACGUGGUAGAUGAAUACCACUAUUGGAGCGCUCAGCUUGAAGAGCGGAAGGCAAGUUUUUGGCCGAGGGUUUGCGCCCUGGCUCUGAAUUCCUGAGCUCCUGUGCAAUGAAGCCCUUCACGUUACUUUAAUGGCGUUGAGGCCCGAGGACAGCGGAGCGGGGGUGCAGGCCCAGCGGACGGAGGCAGAGCUUUCCCGGAGGCAGCAGGGGCUCUGCUUGGUACACCCGGUGUCAGAGUAUCGGUCUCUGCUAAUCCUCUCCCCUCUCGUUCCCCCUCGUGAGUUCCUAAUACUUCAUCUGGUGUCUUCCUCGCGCUCUUCCGAGUUCUGCAGGCUUCUUUAAGAAACUCAAUGCAUGCCAACCAGUGAGCACACGUUUCCUUUCCAGAAACGGAUCCAAUGCCAAAACAUUGGAUUAUUUUUUUGUGUUUUGUUUUGCAACCCAAAACAGCAUAAUUUGAAAUAAAAGCAAAACUGAAAAGAAGUAGAAUUUGCAAUGUUAAUAGUUACUACAAAUAAUUUUCUCCA